AAACUCUCAAACCACAUCAUUCGUUUGACGUGGCUUUGGACGUGGGGGUUGCUGGCUUUCUUCAGCCUGCUCCUCUGAAAAGCAUUAGUGGUAUCUGGAGUGGAAAACCGCUAGGUGUGAUAAUACUGUCUAUGCCUUUGGUUUAUGCCGCAUGUGCUGCUUCCAACCGCACAUUUUUGACAA
rnacentral:misc_RNA from 1 species